rnacentral:lncRNA from 1 species
UCUGUGAUGUCUUAACAGUUUUCACUCAAAGGUUUUAGCAUGUUAAAAUGGUUGAUUAAUUCUCAGACUAUAUACUUGCCAGGGGAAUGUGGUUUUAAUAGCUAGACAUACCUUGACAAGUGCACCAAAUAUUAUAAGAAUGAUGAAACUUGCUCCUCAUGAACAAAAACAUUUGUUAGCAUCAUCGAUACUCAAAGAAGGUGCUGCAUGGACCGAUGAUAAUAUCAAAGGUGGAUAUGGAGUGAUACAAAAGCUGAUUAGGGAAAUCAAAUUACAUGAAACCUAUCUUUCUAUGAUAAGGAAGAAGAUUUCGGAAGAAAAAAAAUUAGUUCUACUUUUACAUCAGUAUAUAUAUAAUGAAAUUUAACAAUCUUCAUUUAUCCAAGAAUAAUUACUCAAUGUUUAAUCAUAUCAAAUGUUGAAAUUUAAAACACACCAUGAGCAUAAUGUAAUUGUUGCGAGUUAAUCACUUAACUGUGCAUGCGUUAUAGUGAUCAUAAAAGAAGAGACACUUUGAAAAUGUGUAUUAAAAUUAAAAAAAAAAAAUCAUUGAACAACCAAUUCAGUAGUUAAUAAUUUCUUCUAUUAUACAUUUUCUAAUGAUAAUACAGUUAUGUGAGUUGCAAAUACAUUUAUGUAUACAAGAUUGACAAAUAAAAAUUUAUACUAAUGAAAUAGACCUUUUGAGGUUCCAUGGGAUGUCCACAUAAUCAAAAAAAAUCUCCCGAAAAAUACCACGUGGCAUUAUUGCUAAAAAAUAAAAGUAUAUACAAUACAAAGAAAAAAAAUAAUAAGUAAUAUAUUGAUAAAAUAAAUAUUACAUUGAACAUUUAUUAUAAUAUUAGAAGAAGUAAAUAUAAAAUAUAAGAAAAAUAAAUAAGAAAAAAUAUAAUAAAACUACAAUUAGAAAACUAAAAAAUCUAUCUGAAAAAUAUAUAAUAAAUAAGUAUAUUGUAUUAGAAAUAGAUAUUAUUAAACAUCUAUCGUAUAUAUUAAAUUUGAUAUAAAAGCAAAAGAAUUAGAAUAAGUAAAUAUACAAUAUGAUAAAAAAAAAAUAUGCAAUAUUUGAACACAUAAAUAUUUAAUAUAAAAAUAAAUAAUAAAUAAAUAUACAAUAAAAAAUGGAAAUAAAUAAAUUAACUAUCUAUCUGAAAAAUCUAAAGUAGAAUAAAUAAUAAGUAAAUAUACAAUAUAAGAAAUAAAGAUAUUAUAUUAUACAUCUAUUGUAAUAUUAGACUAAGUAUAUAUACAAUACAAAAAAAUAAACAAUAAGUAAAUAUAUAGUAUAAUAAAUAUAAAUAUUACAUUAAACAUCUAAUUUAAUAUUAUCAUUUGAUAUAAAAGCAAAAAAUUGGAAUAAUUAAAUAUACAAUAUAUAAAAAUAAACAAUAAGUAAAUAUAAAAUAUCAAAAAUGGAAAAAAUAAAUUAAACAUCUAUGUGAAAAAUGUAUAAUAAAAUAAAUAAUAAGUAAAGAUACACAUAAAAAACAAAAAAAACAUAUUACAUUAAACAUCUAUUAUAAUAUUAGGAUAAGUAAAUAUAAAAUAAAAAAAAAAAAAAAUAACAAGUAAAUAUAUAAUAUAAGAACUAGAAAACUACAUUAAACAUCUAUCUGAAAAAUAUAUAAUAAAAUAAAUAAUAAGUAAAUAUAUUGUAUAAGAAACAUAAAUAUUAUAUUAAACAUCUAUCGUAAUAUUAGAAUUCGAUAUAAAAUCAAAACAAUUAUAAUAAGUAAAUAUAAAAUAUAAGAACAAAUAAAUAAUAAGUAAAUAUACAACCUUUGCAAACUUUACUGUAGAGCAGAUCUGUCCAAAUUUUUUCUGAUCCCUCAUAUGGUCUUCUUGAAUCAGCUUUUAUUUCUUAUACCAGUCUCCAGUAAGCAAAAAUAAUUUCUAAAAUAUUAAGGGUAAAUCUUAAAAAGUUGUAACAGUUUUCUAAAAACCAAAAUAUAUAUUAUUUCAAAGGGUAAAUCUUAAAAAAUCUAAUUAUUUUUGUUCUUCUUUAUUUCUCUUAUAUACUAAAGUACAAGUCACUUGACCGACCAAAUUUGACAUAUGUAAUUUCCUUACAAAGCCUUAAAAAAAGUAAUUUGUUUUCAAAAAGUUAAAAUUUAACAUACUACCAAAAAAAAAUCAAAACUGUCUCAAGUUCCUUUAGUUUUAUGUAAUAGAUGAUGUUAUCUGUCAAGCGAAGGUAACAGCGGACGAUGUGCUUUAGAAGCCUAGGAGAAGGUGCUUCUGCAAGUGAAGUCACCAUAUUCCCCAAAACUCGACUCAGAGCAAAGAAUCUAUCCACACAGACGCACAUGUAACGAAGCCCUUCGUUGUCCAGCAAAAUUUUCUGGAUAAUGAAGGUUGCAACCUGACAUUAAAAAAAAAAACAAAAACAAAUCAAUCUAAUGAGCUGUUGCAUUGCCGAAAUCAAUCAUAAGAAGCAUCUGAAAGUAGAGAAAACUCACAGUUUUUGAUAACUCGCUGCCACUUUCCAUUGUCUGGAGGCACAAUGGGAUGAUUUCAGUUUCAAGAAGGAACUUGAUCACUUCCGUAUCCUCAACCUACCAAAACAAAUGAACAAUGUUGCUAACACCAAUAUAAAAAUAACAAUGAUUCUGUGAUGUCUUAACAGUUUUCACUCAAAGGUUUUAGCAUGUUAAAAUGGUUAAUUUAAUUCUCAGAUUAUAUACUUGCCAGGGGAAUAUGGUUUUAAUAGCUAGACAUACCUUGACAAGUGCACCAAAUAUUAUAAGAAUGAUGAAACUUGAUCCUCAUGAUCAAAAACAUUUGUUAGCAUCAUCGAUACUCAAAGAAGGUGCUGCAUGGAUCGAUGAUAAUAUCAGAGGUGGAUAUGGAGUGAUACAAAAGCUGAUUAGGGAAAUCAAAUUACAUGAAACCUAUCUUUCUAUGAUAAGGAAGAAGAUUUCAGAAGAAAAAAAAUUAGUUCUACUUUUACAUCAGUAUAUAUAUAUAAUGAAAUUUAACAAUCUUCAUUUAUCCAAGAAUAAUUACUCAAUGUUUAAUCAUAUCAAAUGUUGAAAUUUAAAACACACCAUGAGCAUAAUGUAAUUGUUGCGAGUUAAUCACUUAAUUGUGCAUACGUUAUAGUGAUCAUAAAAGAAGAGACACUUUGAAAAUGUGUAUUGAAAUUUAAAAAAAAAAAUCAUUGAACAACCAAUUCAGUAGUUAAUAAUUUCUUCUAUUAUACAUUUUCUAAUGAUAAUACAGUUAUGUGAGUUGCAAAUACAUUUAUGUAUACAAGAUUGACAAAUAAAAAUUUAUACUAAUGAAAUAGACCUUUUGAGGUUCCAUGGGAUGUCCACAUAAUCAAAAAAAAAUCUCCCGAAAAAUACCACGUGGCAUUAUUGCUAAAAAAUAAAAAGUAAAUAUACAAUACAAAGAAAAAUAAAUAAUAAGUAAUAUAUAAUAUAAAAAUAGAAAUAUUACAUUGAACAUUUAUUAUAAUAUUAGAAGAAGUAAAUAUAAAAUAUAAGAAAAAUAAAUAAGAAGUAAAUAUAUAAUAUAAGAAAUAGAAAAC